UUAUACGGAGAGUUUGAUUCUGGCUCAGAACGAACGCUGGCGGCGUGGAUAAGACAUGCAAGUCGAACGGGGAACUUUUGGAGCUUGCUUUGAAAGUUUCUAGUGGCGAACGGGUGAGUAACACGUGAGCAACCUGCCCAGAAGAGGGGGAUAGCCCGGGGAAACUCGGAUUAAUACCGCGUGUGAUCCCGCAGGACAUCCUGCGACGAUCAAAGGUGGUCAUCUUUCGGGAUGGCUGCCGCUUCUGGAUGGGCUCGCGGCCUAUCAGCUUGUUGGUGAGGUAACGGCUCACCAAGGCUCCGACGGGUAACUGGUCUGAGAGGAUGAUCAGUCACACUGGAACUGAGACACGGUCCAGACACCUACGGGUGGCAGCAGUCGAGAAUCAUUGACAAUGGGCGAAAGCCUGAUCGUGCGACGCCGCGUGGAGGAUGACGGCCCUCGGGUUGUAAACUCCUGUCAUCAGAGAGUAAGGCUUCGGCGAGUAACUGCGCCGGAGAUUGAUAGUAUCUGAAGAGGAAGGGACGGCUAACUUCGUGCCAGCAGCCGCGGUAAUACGAAGGUCCCGAGCGUUGUUCGGAUUUACUGGGCGUAAAGCGUCUGUAGGCGGCGCGGCAAGUCAGAUGUGAAAGCCCGGGGCUCAACCCCGGAACUGCAUCCGAUACUGCCGUGCUGGAGGGCUGGAGGGGAGUCUGGAAUUCACGGUGUAGCAGUGAAAUGCGUAGAUAUCGUGAGGAACACUAGUGGCGAAGGCGAGACUCUGGACAGUUCCUGACGCUGAGAGACGAAGGCCAGGGGAGCGAAAAGGAUUAGAUACCCUUGUAGUCCUGGCAGUAAACGGUGCACGCUUGGUGUGGGAGGAUUCGACCCCUUCCGUGCCGAAGCUAACGCGUUAAGCGUGCCGCCUGGGGAGUACGGCCGCAAGGUUAAAACUCAAAGAAAUUGACGGGGACCCGCACAAGCGGUGGAGCAUGUGGCUUAAUUCGAUGCAACGCGAAGAACCUUACCUGGGCUUGACAUGCUUGUCGUAGUUCUGUGAAAGCAGGACGUCAGUUCGGCUGGACUUGCACAGGUGCUGCAUGGCUGUCGUCAGCUCGUGUCGUGAGAUGUUGGGUUAAGUCCCGCAACGAGCGCAACCCCCGUGAACUGUUGCCAGCGGGUAAUGCCGGGGACUCUGUUCAGACUGCCCGUAUUAAACGGGAGGAAGGUGGGGACGACGUCAAGUCAGUAUGGCCCUUACGCCCAGGGCUGCACACGUGCUACAAUGCCCAGUACAAUGUGAACCGAUACCGCGAGGUGGAGGAAAUCUUGAAAACUGGGCUCAGUUCGGAUCGCAGGCUGCAACUCGCCUGCGUGAAGUUGGAAUCGCUAGUAAUGGCGCAUCAGCUACGGCGCCGUGAAUACGUUCCCGGGUCUUGUACACACCGCCCGUCACAUCAUGGAAGCCGGUCGCACCCGAAGUAUCUGCGCCAACCGCAAGGAGGCAGGGUCCGAAGGUGUAACUGGUAACUGGGAUGAAGUCGUAACAAGGUAGCCGUAGGGGAACCUGCGGCUGGAUCACCUCCUUUCUAGGG
rnacentral:rRNA from 1 species